rnacentral:rRNA from 1 species
UACGUAGGUGACAAGCGUUGUUCGGAAUUACUGGGCAUAAAGAGCACGUAGGUGGUCCGCUAAGUCACGUGUGAAAUCCCCCGGCUCAACCGGGGAAUGGCGCGUGAUACUGACGGACUCGAGGCAGGUAGGGGUGAGCGGAACUCCAGGUGGAGCGGUGAAAUGCGUAGAUAUCUGGAGGAACACCGGUGGCGAAAGCGGCUCACUGGACCUGAUCUGACACUGAGGUGCGAAAGCUAGGGUAGCAAACGGG